AAAAAACAGACAAGUCAUUAGAUUUAGACUGAUUCUUCUACAUUUUUGGGUUCUGUGAUCAUUAGAUUCUGGUUUCCAUUUGAACAGCUGAAUAUUCAUCUAUUUCAGUGAAAAGUAAAGUCUAAGCUGUGAGGAGAGCAGCAACAGUCCAAGAAGCCUAUUGGCAUACAAAAUUUUUACCAAAAUGACUGUUUUUAAAAUGAAGAAAAAUGCUAUUUCUGGUUUCUUUUUUACAGUUCUCUGGAAAGUAACUAAAAUUAAGAAUGAGGGGAUAAGAAGAAUGCAUAAGUGAAUUCAUUUAGAAAGAGAGUGGCAAAAAAGAAUUGUUGGUUUCAGAAAGAAGGACAAUUUUUACUUCAGAUAGAAAUGACAGUCCACUACAAUUCAUCACCAUCCAAGUGCAAAGCAUCCUACAAGAGAUUGAUCGUACAAGUGAAGUCUGAGAAACUGUAAAAGAUCACAACAUUUUUGGGUGAGCGAUCUGGUUUCCACUGGGCAUCAUAGUUUGAAACCCACUGAAGCUGAAUCACUCACAACUCAAAAAGAAUAAAGAAACCCUGUUCCUCUCCCCUAAAUUCUGCUUGUACCCAUUACUCCUUGUCCUACCACUACGGUUCCUGGAGAAGAGUCCUCCUCUGGCUUCCCCUUCAGAUACUGGGAGGUUGUUGUGAGGUCUCUGUGCAACCUUCUGUUCUCCAGGCUGAACAGUCCUAAUUUUGUUGGUCUGUCACUGAACUGUCUGAACUGUGGUUCAUUGUUUGAAAUACUCUAUUCUCUGCAAAUAUCCUUAGGCUGAAUUUUUAUGGAAAAAGAGGUUGUUCUUUUGGUCUGGUGAACAUGCAGUUUUGAAUGAAAGGUGUGGGGGAGCAAAAAUAUUGCUUGGAUUUAAAAAAAAACCUAUUUAUUUACAUUUCUUUGGCAUUUUGGGGGGUUUUUUUCCCUUUGAAAUAUGCCUUUAAAAUUAUUACGGAAAGAAAAAAAAUUAGGACAGUUUGAACUUAAAAUUAAUAUGCUUGUUUUGAAAAUAAUAAGGACAUACUUUUCAACUUAAUUUAUAUCAUUAUGAGAGAGAUAUCUUGUAAGGUACUACAUCAGAGUGUUGCCAUGCCUUGCAGAUUAGGGUAAAAAAUGAAAUUUUUGACAACUGCGGGGGUGGGUUUUCUUGUUUUUCUCCAUUGGUUUUGGUCUAAGUGAUUUGGAAAACACAUUUGCUUUGAAUUUUAGCAAAUGCUAUAUGUCAGUGUUGAUUUCUAAGGAUUAAAUUCCAGGUAUUUACAUAGCUGUGUCUGUAUUGCCUUAAAAUAGGUAGAAAGCUUGAAGUAUAUCUAAUAGAUAUUAUGUUUGCUUAGUAUCUAAUUUGCAUAUCUAACAUAUACUUAAUAUGUUAAGAGAGAACUGGGCUGAAGAGGCAUACGAAUUUUGAUCUCUAAAUAUAAGCUUUCACUACAAUUUUCACCUUCUGUUUUUUCUCUUCAGCUUUACAAGUAAUUUAAUGUUACAAUGCCCCUGCCUUCCUCCACAUACUCAUUCCUUUUUUUAUCUCAGACAAAGGGAAAAAUAAUCCUACAGAAAAAGGUAAAGACUUUGUGCUUUUCUUCAUUCCAGUUCAAGAAAGAUACAAUAAAAUAUAAGGUCAUGAGGUGGUGGGAAUUCAGGAAUAGCAGAAGAACCAUCUUGAAUUGUCUUACAUGGGUUACAAAUCUGCACUUAGCUAUCAGUGGUUGAAUUCUGCCUAUCUCUCUUUAGAGGCUUUGGAAAUCUUUCCAAGAUUUAUUGUAAUAUACUGUCUCAGGUGUUGAUUUUGCCUGGAGUUAGACAUCUAACUGUCUGUUGUGCCCUUUAAAACUAGUUCCUUUUUAUUUUAGCAUAAACUUAAAACAAACUCAGUAGAACACUCCAGGAUCCGGGGUGCUCUUUGUCAAGAUGACACAGUUUAUAUGUACUUUAUGAGACUCCUGUUUCCAAGAGCAAUUAGGAUGUUCUGAGUUAUAUCAACCUGUGUUUGCAUUUGGAUAUUUUCAUUCACUGAUUUAUUUUAGGAUUGUACACUGCAUUGCAAAAUAGAAUU